UACAGAGGUGGCCGAGCGUUGUCCGGAAUUAUUGGGCGUAAAGGGCUCGUAGGCGGUUAGUCGCGUCGGGAGUGAAAACUCAGGGCUCAACCCUGAGCGUGCUUCCGAUACGGGCUGACUAGAGGUAUGCAGGGGAGAACGGAAUUCCUGGUGUAGCGGUGAAAUGCGUAGAUAUCUGGAGGAACACCGGUGGCGAAGGCGGCGUCCUGGACCAACACUGACACUGAUGAGCGAAAGCCAGGGGAGCAAACGGG
rnacentral:rRNA from 1 species